rnacentral:rRNA from 1 species
AGAGUUUGAUCCUGGCUCAGAACGAACGCUGGCGGCGUGCCUAACACAUGCAAGUCGAACGAGAAAUCAUGCCUUCGGGUGUGAGAGUAAAGUGGCGCACGGGUGAGUAACGCGUGGGUAACCCGCCCCCGAAUCUGGGAUAACUUCGCGAAAGCGUUGCUAAUACCGGAUAUUGUCCUUUUGUCUGUGGACUUUUGGGUGAAAGGUGACCUCUUCAUGAAAGUUGCCGUUCAGGGAAGGGCCCGCGUACCAUUAGCUUGUUGGUGGGGUAAUGGCCUACCAAGGCUACUAUGGUUAGCUGGUCUGAGAGGAUGAUCAGCCACACUGGAACUGAAACACGGUCCAGACUCCUACGGGAGGCAGCAGUGAGGAAUUUUUGCGCAAUGGGGGAAACCCUGACGCAGCAACGCCGCGUGAGUGAAGAAGGCCUUCGGGUCGUAAAGCUCUGUCAAGUGGGAAAAAAUGCCCUGGAUUAAUAGUCCAGGGAACUGAUGGUACCACUGGAGGAAGCACCGGCUAACUCCGUGCCAGCAGCCGCGGUAAUACGGAGGGUGCAAGCGUUGUUCGGAAUUACUGGGCGUAAAGAGCGUGUAGGCGGUUUGACAAGUCAGAUGUGAAAGCCCUGGGCUUAACCCAGGAAGUGCAUUUGAAACUGUCUUACUUGAGUAUGGGAGAGGAGAGUGGAAUUCCCAGUGUAGAGGUGAAAUUCGUAGAUAUUGGGAGGAACACCCGUGGCGAAGGCGACUCUCUGGACCAAUACUGACGCUGAGACGCGAAAGCGUGGGGAGCAAACAGGAUUAGAUACCCUGGUAGUCCACGCCGUAAACGAUGAGAACUAGGUGUAGCGGGUAUUGACCCCUGCUGUGCCGAAGUUAACGCAUUAAGUUCUCCGCCUGGGGAGUACGGCCGCAAGGCUAAAACUCAAAGGAAUUGACGGGGGCCCGCACAAGCGGUGGAGCAUGUGGUUUAAUUCGACGCAACGCGAAGAACCUUACCUGGGUUUGACAUCCUCUGACCGUCUGGGAAACCAGAUUUUUCCGACUCUGUCGGAACAGAGUGACAGGUGCUGCAUGGCUGUCGUCAGCUCGUGUCGUGAGAUGUUGGGUUAAGUCCCGCAACGAGCGCAACCCUUAUUUUUAGUUGCCAGUAUUAAGUUAGGCACUCUAAAGAGACUGCCUCGGUUAACGAGGAGGAAGGUGGGGAUGACGUCAAGUCCUCAUGGCCUUUAUACCCAGGGCUACACACGUGCUACAAUGGGCUGUACAAAGGGCUGCGAGUCCGCGAGGAUGAGCUAAUCCCAAAAAGCAGCUCUCAGUUCGGAUUGGAGUCUGCAACUCGACUUCAUGAAGUUGGAAUCGCUAGUAAUCGUGGAUCAGCAUGCCACGGUGAAUACGUUCCC